CCUGCCUUUGGUUUUUCACAAAGAAAUCUAUUUUUCACAAAUAUAAAAACCUUAUUAUUCUAUUUUAGCUGCUCUUUCACAUUGAUAAGCUAGCUUUUUGGUGUGUUUGCUUGCUUAGCUUGAAUCCACAUUGUCUUUGUUCCUAGGAGGAUGGAAGGAAUUCCUGGUGACUGCAAUUAUUGGAACAGUCACCUGACAGAGAAAGCAGUUUUUGGCUAUGAAGCUUUUUGCUUAUUUUUAAAAAUGUGGAAGUGGGAUGAAUUGAGAAAGGUGGAAUUAAGAAAUUCAAGGACUUUCUGUUUGACUCAGCCAAAUGAUCUUCCAUCUGAGUGACCAUUUGUUUCUAAUUCUGCCUCUCAUUUUGAUGCUAGUCAUUUAAUAUAACUGGUAAAGUAAGAGAUUAAAUGCUAUCAUGCUGUGUAGCCCAAUUCACAUGUAUUCUGAUUUGUUGAAUAUAUUCAACUUGAAGUUACAUAUUUGGUUUC